AUACGGAGGGGGCUAGCGUUGUUCGGAAUUACUGGGCGUAAAGCGCGCGUAGGCGGAUUGAUCAGUCAGGGGUGAAAUCCCGAGGCUUAACCUCGGAACUGCCUUUGAUACUGUCAAUCUUGAGUUCGAGAGAGGUGAGUGGAAUUCCUAGUGUAGAGGUGAAAUUCGUAGAUAUUAGGAAGAACACCAGUGGCGAAGGCGGCUCACUGGCUCGAUACUGACGCUGAGGUGCGAAAGCGUGGGGAGCAAACAGGAUUAGAAACCCCAGUAGUCC
rnacentral:rRNA from 1 species